rnacentral:misc_RNA from 1 species
GUGAAGAAUAGAUAAGUACGAAGGACCUAUAAAUCCAUUGUCAUAUGGUUUUGGAUUUGAUGAGGUGUCAAGCCCAUGAAUGUGGUUAAAGGGUUCAUCAUGAAAUAUUCUCUCCAAACUUUUUGGGUUCUAUGGAUCUCAACACGUACCAGAAAAACAUUCACAAGCCAUUAUUUCAAUGAUAUAUUCACAAGCACUCAAAAAAUGCAAAUGAAGCACAUGAUAUGUUCACAAGCACUUAAAAAAUGCAAAUGAACCACAAAGAAGUAGUAUUACUUUGUUCUUCCUUGCAAUUGUUUAAAUCAAUCUCUUCUUAAAGUAGGAUGUAUAAUUAACUAGAAUAUGGG